UACGUAGGGGGCAAGCGUUGUCCGGAUUUAUUGGGCGUAAAGAGCGUGUAGGCGGCUUUACAGGUCCGUUGUGAAAACUCGAGGCUCAACCUCGAGACGCCGGUGGAAACCGUAAGGCUAGAGUCCGGAAGAGGAGAGUGGAAUUCCUGGUGUAGCGGUGAAAUGCGCAGAUAUCAGGAGGAACACCAAUGGCGAAGGCAGCUCGCUGGGACGUGACUGACGCUGAGACGCGAAAGCGUGGGGAGCAAACAGG
rnacentral:rRNA from 1 species